UUUUUUGGCGCAUUGGCUGUGGAGCACAUGAAAACUCCACAGUUAAGCGUGCUCAGGUGAGAGUAGUAGUAGGAUGAGUGAGCUCCUAGAAAGUCUCCACCAAAGC
rnacentral:rRNA from 1 species